UGAACGCUGGCGGUAGGCCUAACACAUGCAAGUCGAACGGCAGCACAGCAGUAGCAAUACUGUGGGUGGCGAGUGGCGGACGGGUGAGGAAUACAUCGGAAUCUACCUUUUCGUGGGGGAUAACGUAGGGAAACUUACGCUAAUACCGCAUACGACCUUAGGGUGAAAGUAGGGGAUCGCAAGACCUUACGCGGAUAGAUGAGCCGAUGUCGGAUUAGCUAGUUGGCGGGGUAAAGGCCCACCAAGGCUACGAUCCGUAGCUGGUCUGAGAGGAUGAUCAGCCACACUGG
rnacentral:rRNA from 1 species